rnacentral:rRNA from 1 species
AAUGAACGCUGGCGGCAGGCCUAACACAUGCAAGUCGAACGGAUCCUUCGGGAUUAGUGGCGGACGGGUGAGUAACGCGUGGGAACAUACCCAAAGGUACGGAAUAGCCUCGGGAAACUGGGAGUAAUACCGUAUGUGCUCGAAAGAGGAAAGAUUUAUCGCCUUUGGAUUGGCCCGCGUUGGAUUAGGUAAUUGGUGGGGUAAUGGCCUACCAAGCCGACGAUCCAUAGCUGGUUUGAGAGGAUGAUCAGCCACACUGGGACUGAGACACGGCCCAGACUCCUACGGGAGGCAGCAGUGGGGAAUCUUAGACAAUGGGGGAAACCCUGAUCUAGCCAUGCCGCGUGAUCGAUGAAGGCCUUAGGGUUGUAAAGAUCUUUCAGGUGGGAAGAUAAUGACUGUACCACCAGAAGAAGCCCCGGCUAACUCCGUGCCAGCAGCCGCCGUAAAAC